GAUGAACGCUAGCGGGAGGCUUAACACAUGCAAGUCGAGGGGCAUCACGAGGUAGCAAUACUUUGGUGGCGACCGGCGCACGGGUGAGUAACGCGUAUGUAACCUGUCCUUUACAGGAGGAUAACCCGGAGAAAUUCGGACUAAUACCCCAUGGAAAUAUUGAGAGGCAUCUUGAGAUAUUUAAAGUUCCGGCGGUACGGGAUGGGCAUGCGUAACAUUAGCUAGUUGGUAAGGUAACGGCUUACCAAGGCUUUGAUGUUUAGGGGGUCCUGAGAGGGUGGUCCCCCACACUGGUACUGAGACACGGACCAGACUCCUACGGGAGGCAG
rnacentral:rRNA from 1 species